AGGAGAGGCUGGGAUGCCGGGUCUUUGCGCCAGGCAUGCUCCUUGCAAGGGCUGGCAGUGGACGGGGUGGGCCGUCGGCGGCCCGGCUUCACCAUCUCUCGCUGCACAUCUUCCUCCCAACCCUCCCGAAUCUCCCAGGAAUCGUCACACUAUUCGAGGAUGCUGGGAAGAAGUAGGGGCAGACCUUUCCCUUAGGAGAAAGCCCUGAAUCCCUCCCGUCCGAAUCUAGGGGUCACGGACCCUGGGUCAUCGGCUUUGAUAAAUUAUUUAACAUUCCCCCAAAUUGCUGAAAAAAUGGAUCCUUAGGGAGGAUGUGGCAAGUUUAUCUGGCAGCCGAGACCUGCGAUCACACUGCUGGCCUGUCCUGUUGUUUUUGCAGGAAGCAGACGAAAACUGCUGACUACAAGCAUGUUGACCCCAGACCUAUUGAAACCAGAUGGUCGAUGAUGCUCGAAACUUCACCUUGACGCCAGCGAAUCGGAGACCUGAGCACAGGCUUGUCAGGCUCCUGCAUCCCCUCCCUCACAUGGCCUUUAAAACUCCUCCCCUGAAAGUCCUCGGGGAGCUGGCAUUCUUUCAUACCUUCUCCCUGGUGCACCAGCUCUCCUUCCAAUAAAAA